rnacentral:rRNA from 1 species
UACAGAGGGUGCGAGCGUUAAUCGGAAUUACUGGGCGUAAAGCGCGCGUAGGCGGCUUUGCAAGUCGGGUGUGAAAUCCCCCAGGCUUAACCUGGGAACUGCAUUCGAGACUGCAUUGCUAGAGUAUGGGGAGAGGGAAGUGGAAUUUCAGGUGUAGCGGUGAAAUGCGUAGAUAUCUGAAGGAACAUCAGUGGCGAAAAGCGACUUCCUGGACCAAUACUGACGCUCAUGUGCGAAAGCGUGGGGGAGCAAACAGG